UACGUAGGGGGGCAAGCGUUUGUCCGGAAUCAUUGGGCGUAAAGAGCGUGUAGGCGGCCCGGUAAGUCCGCUGUGAAAGUCCAGGCUCAACCCUGGGAUGCCGGUGGAUACUGUCGGGCUCGAGUCCGGAAGAGGAGUGUGGAAUUCCUGGUGUAGCGGUGAAAUGCGCAGAUAUCAGGAGGAACACCAAUGGCGAAGGCAGCACUCUGGGACGUGACUGACGCUGAGACGCGAAAGCGUGGGGAGCAAACAGG
rnacentral:rRNA from 1 species